CACGUAGGGUGCGAGCGUUGUCCGGAAUUAUUGGGCGUAAAGAGCUCGUAGGCGGUGUGUCGCGUCGGCCGUGAAAACCUGCAGCUUAACUGUGGGCUUGCGGUCGAUACGGCAUCACUGGAGUUCGGCAGGGGAGACUGGAAUUCCUGGUGUAGCGGUGAAAUGCGCAGAUAAUCAGGAGGAACACCGGUGCGAAGGCGGGGUCUCUGGGGGCCGAUACUGACGCUGAGGAGUGAAAGCCGUGGGGGGAGCGAAACAGGA
rnacentral:rRNA from 1 species